ACGAAGGGGGCUAGCGUUGUUCGGAAUCACUGGGCGUAAAGAGCACGUAGGCGGACUUGUUAGUCAGGGGUGAAAUCCCGGGGCUCAACCCCGGAACUGCCUUUGAAACUGCAAGUCUUGAGUCCGAGAGAGGUGAGUAGAAUUCCUAGUGUAGAGGUGAAAUUCGUAGAUAUUAGGAAGAACACCAGUGGCGAAGGCGGCUCACUGGCUCGGUACUGACGCUGAGGUGCGAAAGCGUGGGGAGCAAACAGGA
rnacentral:rRNA from 1 species